AUCGGGGGUGCUGCCAAUCGGCGGCUGAGACGGCGUUUGCCGAACCCUUUUACCUGAUACGGAUAAUACCGGCGUAGGGAGAUUUUCAA
rnacentral:ncRNA from 1 species